GCACAAGCGGUGGAUGAUGUGGAUUAAUUCGAUGCAACGCGAAAAACCUUACCUACCCUUGACAUGUACGGAACCCUGCUGAGAGGUGGGGGUGCUCGAAAGAGAGCCGUAACACAGGUGCUGCAUGGCUGUCGUCAGCUCGUGUCGUGAGAUGUUGGGUUAAGUCCCGCAACGAGCGCAACCCUUGUCAUUAGUUGCUACGAAAGGGCACUCUAAUGAGACUGCCGGUGACAAACCGGAGGAAGGUGGGGAUGACGUCAAGUCCUCAUGGCCCUUAUGGGUAGGGCUUCACACGUCAUACAAUGGUACAUACAGAGGGCCGCCAACCCGCGAGGGGGAGCUAAUCCCAGAAAGUGUAUCGUAGUCCGGAUUGUAGACUGCAACUCGACUACAUGAAGUUGGAAUCGCUAGUAAUCGCGGAUCAGCAUGUCGCGGUGAAUACGUUCCCGGGUCUUGUACACACCG
rnacentral:rRNA from 1 species